UGGGGAAUCGUUCCGCAAUGGACGAAAGUCUGACGGAGCAACGCCGCGUGAGUGAAGAAGGUUUUCGGAUCGUAAAACUCUGUCUUUUGGGGGCGAACGUGAGUAUGGUGAACAAUCAUAGUCAGUGACGGUACCAAAGGGAGGAAGCCACGGCUAACUACGUGCCAGCAGCCGCGGUAAUACGUAGGUGGCAAGCGUUGUCCGGAAUUAUUGGGCGUAAAGAGCGCGUAGGCGGGAUAGUCAGUCUGUUGUAAAGUGCGGGGCUCAACCCCGUGAUGGCAAUGGAAACAGCUAUUCUUGAGUGCAGGAGAGGAAAGGUGGAAUUCCCCAGUGUAGCGGUGAAAUGCGUAGAUAUUGGGAGGAACACCAGUGGCGAAGGCGACUUUCUGGACUGUGUCUGACGCUGAGGCGCGAAAGCCAGGGGAGCGAACGGGAUUAGAUACCCCCGGUAGUCCUGGCCGUAAACGAUGGGUACUAGGUGUGGGAGGUAUCGGCCCCCCAUUCCGUGCCGGAGUUAACGCAAUAAGUACCCCCGCCU
rnacentral:rRNA from 1 species